UCAAAUAAAAACGUUUUUUUCAAGCAGACUAAUUCUCUCUUUCUCUCUUUUCAUGCCUCUCAGAAUACAAGAUCUACCCUUAUGAAGUUCUGGCAGUGACGCAUAGAGUGAAAGUGAAGCUUCCCAGGGACGUGGACCGCACCAGACUGGAGAGACUUCUAUCUGCUGU